ensembl:lincRNA 2310015K22Rik RIKEN cDNA 2310015K22 gene
AGUUGGCACUUGGCACUUAUGAGGUGAAGACAAAGCUGGUUCAUGAGGCUUGUUUUCAAUUCUUUGUGAACCACAAGCCCUCACACUGCAAGAUCGUCAUGACAACCUGUCAGGAUGGGAGCCAGGCGAAGUCAGAGCUUAAUUCUAAAACUCUCCCCAAAACUGAGGAAGAAAAACCUCUGCAGGAGAUGCAGGGCAGCGCUCUCUGCCCUUGGGUAUCUGUGCUUCAAGAUCAUUGCCCGGCGGCCAAGCCUCAACCUCACAGCUUGCUUCCUAGGCGAAGCCCAGCAAGGGCCGGACUCAGACCUAUUUUAGACUGAAGUCAAGUGGAUUCCAGAGUAGCUCUGAAAUAUAGCAGGAAAUAUAGAAAUAUAUAUUGGGAUUUCUUUUUCUGGAAAACAAUCAGGCCCUGUCCUAAUGGGAUGCACAGAAGAUAACCAGGAUGCAUGACAUGAAGCUAAUGAAUUCCAAGUCAGAAAAGAGGCACAUGGUGAGACUAGGAACCAGAGUCAGCAUCUACCAUGCUUGGUGGGGCCCAGCACUCAAGCCUGUUUGAUGGGCACUGUGGACUGUGUCUCCACACCUCCAAAAUUCUUAUACUAUGAGGCCCCCAUCCCCAGGGUGGCUGUAUUUGAAAUGGAUAAUAUGUAUUUGAAAUGGAUAAUAUGGCUGGGUAUUAACUAAUCCUGUGAUAACUAAUAUUAAUUUUUCAACUUGAUGGGAUUUAGAAUCACUAUGGAAAUAAGCCCCCUGAAGUCUGUAAGAGAUCAUCUACAUUAAGUUAAUUGAGAUGAGAAGUUGUAUCCUACAUUUGGGUGGCACCACUCUAGGGGCUGGGGUCCUGAAUUGGAUUAAAAGGAGAAAGCAGGGGCUGGAGAGAUGGGUCAGUGGUUAAGAGCAGUGACUGCUCUUCCCAAGGUCCUGAGUUCAAUUCCCAGCAACCACAAUGGUGACUCACAACCAUCUGUAAUGGGAUCAGAUCACCUCUUCUGGCGUGUCUAAAGACAGCUACAGUGUACUCGUAUGCAUAAAAUAAAUAAAUACAUCUUUAAAAAGGAGUGGAGGAGCAAGCUGAAUGCCAAUAUUCAUCUCUAUCGAGUUCCUGGUUAUGGUUAUCACCAGCUGCCUGAUGCUCCUGCUUUCAAACCAUGAGCCAAAGUCGACCCUUCCUCUCUCAAGUUGCUUCUGUUACAGCAAGGACACAAGCAACUCAUACAGGUGCCUUGCAUCCUCUGGGAUCUAUAACGGACUUGAAAGGACAUGUUGGUGGUUAUCAGAUAAGAGAAAACCUGCCUCUUCAUCUGUUGACCUCCAAAGACGUUCUGACAGACCUGUCCCCUAAACCUUUCUCUACUGGGAGACAAGCAUACACUCUCAGAGUUCACAUUUGUUGAUGUAGCUGGUUUCUAGUUUGCUUGUUGUCAAUGCUUCUCACAUGUCAUUAAAUCACUGAAGUACCCC